rnacentral:rRNA from 1 species
AUAGUGAUCCGGUGGUUCUGAAUGGAAGGGCCAUCGCUCAACGGAUAAAAGGUACUCCGGGGAUAACAGGCUGAUACCGCCCAAGAGUUCAUAUCGACGGCGGUGUUUGGCACCUCGAUGUCGGCUCAUCACAUCCUGGGGCUGAAGUAGGUCCCAAGGGUAUGGCUGUUCGCCAUUUAAAGUGGUACGCGAGCUGGGUUUAGAACGUCGUGAGACAGUUCGGUCCCUAUCUGCCGUGGGCGCUGGAGAACUGAGGGGGGCUGCUCCUAGUACGAGAGGACCGGAGUGGACGCAUCACUGGUGUUCGGGUUGUCAUGCCAAUGGCACUGCCCGGUAGCUAAAUGCGGAAGAGAUAAGUGCUGAAAGCAUCUAAGCACGAAACUUGCCCCGAGAUGAGUUCUCCCUGACCCUUUAAGGGUCCUGAAGGAACGUUGAAGACGACGACGUUGAUAGGCCGGGUGUGUAAGCGCAGCGAUGCGUUGAGCUA